GCGAGAGAUCGCCAAUGGGAUGACUGUCGAAGAAGCCAUUAACAAAUAUCCAUUCCUUAAGAGUCCAUGUGGGCUAUUUCAGGAAAUGGGCCGGCUUCAUGAUGAAAUGAAUAUCUGCCGAAGAUUCGAAGAUGGCUUUAGGGUCCUAGUACCCACAGUGCUUAGAUUGACUCAAAGCAAAUCUCCCCUUGCAGAUCUGGUUUUGGAGGAAAGAGAGGCUGCCCUCACCGAAGAUGUCCCUGGGAUUGAUUUCAGAGCUGCAAUCCUGCUGUUGCCGAUCCUGUUCAGGGAGAAAAAUGACAUUCUCGUCAUACUUGGGAAGGAUCAGCCACCAUCGCCAUAUCCUACUGUACAACUUGACGCUGUCGCUGACUGGAGGACUGUGCUCACUCGAAGGGUCCCUGCAGUGGUCAAACUGGAUGGACAGUCAGUCUGCAUGGCGCUUGGUUUGGAGGAAGGUGUUAUU